GCCAAAGUGGCAUAGUGGUUUGAGCAUUGGACUAUGACUCUGGAGACCAGAGUUCAAAUUCCCACUUGGCCA